rnacentral:tRNA from 1 species
UGGACAGGUGGCCGAGUGGUUAAAGGCAGCAGACUGUAAAUCUGCCCGGGUUUCCCGUACGCUGGUUCGAAUCCAGCCCUGUCCACCAU